rnacentral:rRNA from 1 species
UGCGUAGGUGGUCUACUAAGUUGGAUGUGAAACCCCCGGGCUUAACUUGGGAACUGCAUCCAAUACUGGCGGACUAGAGUGCAGGAGAGGGAAGCGGAAUUCCUAGUGUAGCGGUGAAAUGCGUAGAUAUUAGGAGGAACACCAGUGGCGAAGGCGGCUUUCUGGACUGUAACUGACACUGAGGCACGAAAGCGUGGGGAGCAAAACAG